rnacentral:rRNA from 1 species
CAGCAGCCACGGUAAUACGGAGGGUGCAAGCGUUAAUCGGAAUUACUGGGCGUAAAGCGCACGCAGGCGGUCUGACAAGUCAGAUGUGAAAUCCCCGGGCUUAACCUGGGAACUGCAUUUGAAACUGUCAGGCUGGAGUCUUGUAGAGGGGGGUGGAAUUCCAGGUGUAGCGGUGAAAUGCGUAGAGAUCUGGAGGAAUACCGGUGGCGAAGGCGGCCCCCUGGACAAAGACUGACGCUCAGGUGCGAAAGCGUGGGGAGCAAACAGGAUUAGAUACCCGAGUAGUCCCUGUCUCUUAUAC